AACGAACGCUGGCGGCAUGCCUAACACAUGCAAGUCGAACGAGACCUUCGGGCCUUGUGGCGCACGGGUGCGUAACGCGUGGGAACCUGCACUUAGGUUCGGUAUAACUCACCGAAAGGGGUGCUCAUACAGCUUAAUCUCUUAGGACCAAAGAUUUCUCGCUUUUGGAUGGGCGCGCGUUGGAUUCGCGAGUUGGUAGGGUAAAAGCCUACUAAGGCGACGAUCCAUAGCUGGUCUGUGAGGAUGAUCAUCGACACUGGGACUGAGACACGGCCCAUACUCCUACGGGAGGCAGCAGUGGGGAAUAUUGGGCAGUGAGCGAAAGCCUGAACCAGCAAGGCCGCGUGAGUGAUGAAGGCGUUAGGAUUGUAAUGCGCUUGUACCCGGGAGGGUAAGGAGAGUACCGGUAGAAUAGGCUCGGGCAAACUCCGG
rnacentral:rRNA from 1 species